rnacentral:rRNA from 1 species
CCUACGGGUGGCAGCAGUAGGGAAUUUUCCACAAUGGACGAAAGUCUGAUGGAGCAACGCCGCGUGCAGGAUGAAGGCCUUCGGGUUGUAAACUGCUUUUAUAUGUGAAGAUUAUGACGGUAGCAUAUGAAUAAGGAUCGGCUAACUCCGUGCCAGCAGCCGCGGUCAUACGGAGGAUCCAAGCGUUAUCCGGAAUUACUGGGCGUAAAGAGUUGCGUAGGUGGCAUAGUAAGCGAAUAGUGAAAGCGUAUGGCUCAACCAUAUACACAUUACUCGAACUACUAAGCUAGAGGACGAGAGAGGUACCUGGAAUUCCCAGUGUAGGAGUGAAAUCCGUAGAUAUUGGGAGGAACACCGAUGGCGUAGGCAGGGUACUGGCUUGUUCCUGACACUAAGGCACGAAAGCGUGGGGAGCGAACGGGAUUAGAUACCCUAGUAGUCC